rnacentral:lncRNA from 1 species
CACAUUGAAAGUCUGUGAUACGAAGCAGCUCAAGCUGUUUUUCUUUUUUCUACUUCUUACUUGAAAACAAGUGUAGCUCUGGGCACCUGAUCAUUUUUGCAGAAGUAACAAGGCAAUGCAAUACAUUGCCACCAUCCUCAUGCACACAGGACAUCACAGCCAGAUGUGUGGGCUCCAUUCCUGUUUUCCGAGGUGUUUCCUGACAUUGAUUCUAGAAUGAAGGGUUCUGAUGGAGUGAAGGAACUACUCUGAGUUUCCCAAACUGUAAAUUGUCAUGUACACGUGUCCUUCUGAAUCCACAGGAAGACUGGUUCAAGGAUCCUCUGUGGAUACCAAAAUCCAAGAAGUUCAACUCCCUUUAUAAAACAGUAUAAUAUUUACACACAGCCUACAAACAUCCUCCCAUAUAUUUUAAAUUAUCUUUAAUUACUUACAAUAAAUAAUACAAUCUACAUACUGUAUAAAUAGUUGUUAUACUGUGGAGAAGAAUGACAAGAGAAAACAUCUGUACAUGUUCACAUGCAUUUUUUCCCCAGUAUUUUAUUUAUUUAUUUAUUUAUUUUGGGGGGGGGGUUCUGGGGAUUGAACCCAGGGGCACUUUACCACUAAGUUCCAUCUCUAGCCCUUUUUUAUUUUUUGAGAAAGGCUGGCCUUGAAUUUGUGAUCCUCCUGCCUCAAUCUCUCAAAUCACUGAGAUUACAAGUGUGUGCCACUACAUCCAGCCUUUUUCCAAAUAUUUUCCUUUGGCAAUAGAUUGAAUCUGCAGAUAGGAAACUCACAAAGACUGCUGGAUGACUCUGUUUCCUGUCCCAUUCCUCCUGUUGUAAGGUGACAUCUCCUUUGGAUUCUCUUCUCCUUUGCCCAUCCACAUGCCUGGUCGCAUUAAUCUUGUGCAAGCACAAAGCUCUAAUCCCACCAUCUUCAUAAUCUUUUAGUGAUUCUCUGUGGUCUACUUGGCAAAAGCGUCAAGGCACUGAAUCCCUUUUCCACAAUUAGCUCAUUACCCUUCCCUAGCCCUACUGCAGCCACACGAGACAAAUCUGGUGGCUGGAGAAAGCCUCAUCAUUCCGGUUUGACCCUUCUG